rnacentral:rRNA from 1 species
GACGAACGCUGGCGGCGUGCCUAAUACAUGCAAGUCGAACGCAGUGGGGACGGGUGAGUAACACGUGGGUAACCUCCCAUCAGAGGGGAUAACACUUGGAAACAGGUGCUAAACCGAUACUGAUGGAUGGACCCGCGGUGCAUUAGCUAGUUGGUGAGGUAACGGCUCACCAAGGCCACGAUGCAUAGCCGCCCGAUGAGGGGAGUCGGCCACACGGGGAGUGUGACACGGCCCAGACUCCGACGGGAGGCAGCCGUAGGGAAUCUUCGGCAAAGGACUAAGGUCUGACCGAGCAACGCCGCGUGAGUGAAGAAGUUUUUCGGAUCGUAAAACUCUGUUGUUAAAGAAGCGGUAUCUAACCAGAAAGCCACGGCUAACUGCGUGCCAGCAGCCGCGGUAAUAC